CCUACGGGAGGCAGCAGUGGGGAAUAUUGCACAAUGGGGGAAACCCUGAUGCAGCGACGCCGCGUGAGUGAAGAAGGAUUUCGGUAUGGAAAGCUCUAUCAGCAGGGAAGAAAAUGACGGUACCUGAAGAAGAAGCCCCGGCUAACGACGAGCCAGCAGCCGCGGUAAUACGGAGGGGGCAAGCGUUAUCCGGAUUUACUGGGUGUAAAGGGAGCGUAGACGGCAGCACAAGUCUGGAGUGAAAUGCCGGGGCUUAACCCCCGAACUGCUUUGGAAACUGGGCAGCUAGAGUGCAGGAGAGGUAAGUGGAAUUCCUAGUGUAGCGGUGAAAUGCGUAGAUAUUAGGAGGAACACCAGUGGCGAAGGCGGCUUACUGGACUGUACCUGACGUUGAGGCUCGAAAGCGUGGGGAGCAAACAGGAUUAGAUACCCCUGUAGUC
rnacentral:rRNA from 1 species